GAAUUAGCAGGGAAUGAAGCCCCUGUUGAGCUUGACUCUAGUCUAGCAUGGUGAAGAGACAUGAGAACAGUGCAAUAAGUAGAAGACCUCUGAUGCUCUCUGGUUCCCUGGGAGGGGUCAGCGUGAGGUCCACCAGCCUCACAGACUACAGUGAAAUGCUACUUAUCAUUUUCCACUGACCCAGGGAGACAGGGGUGGCUUGAGCCAUGAGUGGUUCUCACUUCCGGCACCAAGUGUCUGUCACACAUAUUGUAUGCUAUGGCCCAUUCUGGGAACAGUGCCAUGUUCAUAGUUUGACUGGGGAGUUACACUUGUCAAACAGUAAUGCAGGUGACCUACAGCGAACUCACAGAUGACAGAAACUAUCCUUAAAGGCUGCUUUACCACGAUUUUCAGUACAAAUACAAACCAUGAAAGCAGGGCAUUAAAAUCCUUCUGAAUUUUUGGUUUUUAAGUAGGAAUUGUCAGAAAAGUUACCACAGGUAUAACUGCCUCCUGGAAGAAAAGUGUUCAUAGUGACAUAGUUUUAUUGACCCUGCAAUGUCUGCUGUUCUUGUGAUUUUGAAGCAGAACUCACCUAGGGUUGGAUUGUUGACCCAGUAAUAGGGAAUGUGAGCUGGAUUAGAACAUCAUGAGACAGACUCGUUUUACCUACUGAUUAUGUGCAUUUUGCCUUUGAAUCCUGCUCAGUAUGAGAGGAACAAUAUGUUCACACAUUUGGUGUGUAUGCUCCACUGAGAAGACAAUGAGCAAGACUACCACUUGUAGAAUUAUGACUUAAGGCCCCUAAGUUGAUAUUCCACUGAUGCAGGGCUGUAAAAUGGAGCCAAAGACCCUCAGUUAGCCCUGGAUAGCCAGGUCUGGUCUAUACCUGCUGCAGGUGCCAUUGCAUUCCCACAAGGUGGUGGGUCCCUGUUGUGUUGGGGCACAGGUGUCCAGUGUGGAAAGACACUCAUCCUCUGAAACAUCGUGUGCUAGAAACAAGACAGACCUUUCAUCCAUCAUGCUAAUGCAUGUGUGUGUAGAAUCUGGAGCUAAAUCAUUCCAAGGUGACCUGCUUCUGUGUCGGGGAUUCAUAUAUAGCAGAACAGUUAACUUACUUUGUCUCUUGAAAGUCAUCCCUCAACACAAGGUUU
rnacentral:ncRNA from 1 species